CCAAGUCAUCGUUAUAAGGCAUCGCCCUCUUUUGCCCACCCCCAGCACCAGGUGUGGCCACUAGCCUAUAUGAAGGCCCAAAAUUGUGUGUUCCUUUCUGCUCUGACAAUGGCAUGCCCAUUCGUGCGAGAUGUGGUGGAUGAAGAAGCACUUGUGCUGAGGAGAGCCUUCAGGCAAGAAAGGGUCUUCAGGGACCGGUUGGACCCACUGGCCUUCCCUGAUGACCAUCUAUAUGAAAGAUACAGGUUUUCUGCAGAUGGCAUCAGGUAUCUAUGCAGACUACUGGGUCCCAGGAUUAAGCACCGCACUGCACGGAGCCAUGCACUGAGUGUGGAGCAAAUGGUUUGUGUGGCCUUGCGCUUUUUUGCUAGUGGAGCCUUCCUGUACUCAGUGGGGGAUGCUGAACAAGGCCACAAUUUGCCGCACAAUAAGGAGUGUGUGUCUGGCUAUCAAAGCAUUAGCAGAUGUCUUCAUCUCCUUCCCUGGCCACAGAAGACUCUGUGACAUCAAAGAGGAGUUCUAUAGGAUUGCAGAUGGUCUGCAAUGCUGACUGUGUGAUCAGCAAUGUUGUGGCUAAAUGGCCUGGCUCAGUCCAUGACUCCAGAAUCUUUCGGGCCUCUGAAAUCUAUCACAAGGUGAAUUCUCUGGUGUGUUGCUGGGAGACGGGGUAUGGCUGCCAGCCUUUUCUCCUGACACCUUUCACAGACCCCCAGGAAGCACAGCAGUCCUACAACCAUGCCCAUGCCAGGACCAGGGCCAGAGUUGAAAUGACCUUUGGCCUCCUGAAGGCACGCUUUCACUGCCUUCACAAAUUAAGGGUCAGCCCUGU